rnacentral:rRNA from 1 species
UACAGAGGUCUCAAGCGUUAUCCGGAAUCACUGGGCGUAAAGGGCGCGUAGGCGGCUCAUGAAGGCUGUGGUGAAAGUCCGGGGCUCAACCUCGGAUCGGCCGUGGCGACUCGUGGGCUGGAGCACUGUAGAGGCGGGUGGAAUUCCGGGUGUAGCGGUGGAAUGCGUAGAGAUCCGGAAGAACACCAGUGGCGAAGGCGGCCCGCUGGGCAGUGGCUGACGCUGAGGCGCGACAGGCGUGGGGAGCAAACAGG